rnacentral:rRNA from 1 species
UACGUAGGGUGCAAGCGUUGUCCGGAAUUAUUGGGCGUAAAGAGCUCGUAGGCGGUCUGUCGCGUCUGCUGUGAAAACUCGGGGCUUAACCCCGGGCCUGCAGUGGGUACGGGCAGACUAGAGUGCGGUAGGGGAGACUGGAAUUCCUGGUGUAGCGGUGAAAUGCGCAGAGUAUCAGGAGGAACACCGGUGGCGAAGGCGGGUCUCUGGGCCGUAACUGACGCUGAGGAGCGAAAGCGUGGGGAGCGAACAGG